CUCUUGUCGCCGGUGCGUUGUGCCUGCAUCUUUGCUCCAGCUAAGCCAGCUCCUCUAGGCCUCUGGCUGCCCACCGCAGUGGGCUCUGGACUGGACUCUGGACCAUGCGUUGCUGGGUUUGCUGCUGUGAUGAUGGAGGUGCUGCUUUUGUCUGUCUGAUGUUUAUACUUUGUGGGUGUGGAGUGUGCUAGGAACAUCUCAUAUGUGCCAGGAACUGGCUCUUUGGAAAAGUCAGUCCAGGUUAGAAACAUAGACUGUGGCCGGGCAUAGUGGCUCACGCCUAUAAUCCCAGCACUUUGGGAAGCCAAGGUGGGCAGAUCUCUUGACUUGAGGUCAGGAGUUCGAGACCGGCCUGGCCAACAUUGUGAAACCCCAUCUCUACUAAAAAUACAAAAAUUAGCCAGGCAUGGUGGUGCAUGCCUGUAGUUCCAGCUAUCCGGGAGGCUGAGGCACGGGAAUUGCUUGAACCCUGGAGACAGAGGUUGCAGUGAGCCAAGAUCACGCCACUGCACUCCAGGACUGUAUCAAGUUCACUCCAAAAGUGGAGAAGAGCCAUCUGGACUGCAACUGCCACCAAGGGAAGCCACACUUCAGCCAAGUGGGGCCCUCCACCUAAGGCCGAGCAUGGUGUCACACAGCUGUAGCCGUUAGGAAUGUCUCUGGAUGCAAUGAAUAGAAAAUCUACAUAUCAGAGGCUGAAGCAAUAAGAGGCAGCAGCGUGGGUAUGGGCUAUUCUGGGUUUGGGGAAAUAGUUCAGAGAUGUUAUCCGGGAGCCAAGUCCACUUUUAUUGGCCUUUUAUUGGGAAGAAAGGAGUGUUCCUCUCAUCAAGAAGUAAAGUGUUUCCCAGAA
rnacentral:lncRNA from 1 species